UGUUAAACCCUCAAGAUUGCUCUGCUGCCCCACAGUUUCUCAUCAGGAGGCCUGGGGUGGGCCCGAGAAUCUGCACUUCUACCAAGUUUCCAGGGUCAAGUUUGACUGUUUACCUUCCAAACCCACCAGAGCAAGACAACCAUUCUCCCCACCCUGACCCUCCAGCACGAGCCUGGACACUCUUCUGCUGACUUGUCGCCUGAGUAUUGGAAGAGAACAUCAUGGAAACCACAUGGUAUGCUGAAACUUCCAAUGCACUGAAAUUUGCUGGGUUGGAGUUGAUCCAAAGAAAUUUGAAAAUCUAUGAGAUUUUCAGAGGCCUCUGGCUACACACUUUACCCUAAAGUCCUGAGGAAGAAAAUGCUGUACAAAUGUUUUUGCACCAAGGGAACAUCUUAAGUACUGAAGCAAAAUAUCAAAUCAAACAUUGAAAAAGGCACUUCUCCUAAUAAUGAUUUCACAGAUGGACAGAAGGGAAAGGUGGAUAGUGUAUCU